CCCGUUUGAUGGCAACACCAUCCUGACCAUGGUGGAUUGGUUUUCCAAAGCCGCCCACUUCAUUCCUCUCCACAAACUACCCUCUGCCAAAAAUACAGCCCAGCUCAUGGUGCAGCACGUCUUCUGGAUCCAUGGUCUAACAGUAGACAUGGUCUCCGACCAGGGUCCUCAGUUCUCGUCCCAGUUCUGGAAGGCGUUCUGCACCCUCAUUGGGUCGUCGGCCAGCCUGUCCUGAUGGUUCCACCCCAGUCCAAUGGCCAGUCAGAGCGAGCCAACCAGGACCUAGAGACUACUCUGCUCUGCCUGGUCUCUGCCAACCCCACCACCUGGAGACAGCAGCUUGUGUGGGUCGAAUAUGCCCGCAACACCCUUCCCUGCUCUGCCACGGGCCUAACACCUUUUGAGUGUUUCUUGAGGUAUCAGCCCCCGCUCUUCCCUGAGCAGGAAGAAGUGGUUGGCAUACCUUCAGCCCAGAUGUUUGUCUGCCACUGUCAUUGUACCUGGAGGAGAGCUCAGCCCGGCCCUCCUCAAGACCACCUCCAGGUAUCGACGACAAGCAGAUUGCCACAGGAACCCGGCUCCCCGGUAUCGGCUAGGACAGAAGGCCCACACCUGUGAGCCGUCUCCUGAGGGUUCAACCUCGGGGCAGGGAGUUCCAGUACCUGGUUGACUGGGAGGGUUAAGGUCCAGGUAGGGUCCCCGCCAGGGAAUUCUGGGUCCCCGCCAGGGAAUUCUGGACCCAGGCCGUGGAUUUCCAAUGCCGACACCCUAGUCAACCAGGUAUGCGCCCAGCAGUGUGCUGGAUGUCACCAGGGUGAGAGGGGAACAGCCCCAGACCAAGCAGAACUCCCAGGACUCUGUACAGUUCUCGGCCCACUCAGCUGGCCUGAGUCCUGUUCACUAGCACCCCAGGGCCCUGGGUAAGUAUGCCUCACAGCAUUUCUCAACACCUCAAAUAUACCAUCACUGCAUGAUUUACACUGAAGUUCAAGUCCCAAGAACCAACUGG
rnacentral:lncRNA from 1 species